GGGGUUGACUGGAUUUGACAGCAGGCCGAGAUGGUAUGUAAGCACGCGGAGCGUUGGCUAGUGGCUCCUUAAUCCUACGAGUCGUCAAAUUUAUCUGGCAACAACAACUAUGCUCUCGCUGCCUAAUCGAAGUACAGUAGAUUACUGGCUUUAUUCUGUCACUAGGUGAUAGAACGAGACGUCGCUCAGAUGCCGUUUUUCCGAGGCUUUCUGAUUCAGCGGCGCAGCAAUAUCGGGAAUAGCUCGCAAUGGCCUCGCAUUGUAGGUGAAAUCUUUGAGGAUAAGGCUGUGGUUGGUGGCCUGGGUCUUGCCGCAGCACGAAAAUCAAGGCCAGGAUAAGCGUGUAGAAAGCGUAUGGUUUCCCUGUUUGGACGAGGGUUCGACUCCCUCCAGCUCCACA
rnacentral:tmRNA from 1 species